rnacentral:rRNA from 1 species
GUCCACGCCCUAAACGUUGCGCACUAGGUGUAGGGAGUAUCGACCCUCCCUGUGCCGUAGCUAACGCAUUAAGUGCGCCACCUGGGGGAGUACGGUCGCAAGACUGAAACUCAAAGAAAUUGACGGGGGCCCGCACAAGCGGUGGAUUAUGCGGUUUAAUUCGAUGCAACGCGAAGAACCUUACCAGGGCUUGACAUCACCGCAAGGACCAUACCUCCGACGAAAAUUGGAGGCUUAGGUAGACAGGUGUUGCAUGGCUGUCGU